rnacentral:rRNA from 1 species
GAUGAACGCUCGCGAUAGGCUUAACACAUGCAAGUCGAGGGGCAGCAUGGUCUUAGCUUGCUAAGACUGAUGGCGACCGGCGCACGGGUGCGUAACGCGUAUGCAACUUGCCUCACAGAGGGGGAUAACCCGUCGAAAGACGGACUAAUACCGCGUACACUUGGGAUAGGGCAUCCUGACCCAAGGAAAUGAAAUUCGCUGUGAGAUAGGCAUGCGUCCCAUUAGCUAGUUGGUGAGGUAACGGCUCACCAAGGCGACGAUGGGUAGGGGAACUGAGAGGUUGAGCCCCCACACUGGUACUGAGACACGGACCAGACUCCUACGGGAGGCAGCAGUGAGGAAUAUUGGUCAAUGGGCGAGAGCCUGAACCAGCCAAGUCGCGUGAAGGAUGACUGUCUUAUGGAUUGUAAACUUCUUUUAUACGGGAAUAACAAGAGCCACGUGUGGCUCCCUGCAUGUACCGUAUGAAUAAGCAUCGGCUAACUCCGUG